rnacentral:misc_RNA from 1 species
UAUCAAGGAAACAGCACUGGCUGCAG